GGAAAGGCGAAAAGAACCCCGGCGAGGGGAGUGAAAAAGAACCUGAAACCGUGUACGUACAAGCAGUGGGAGCCUCUUUAUGGGGUGACUGCGUACCUUUUGUAUAAUGGGUCAGCGACUUAUAUUCUGUAGCAAGGUUAACCGUAUAGGGGAGCCGCAGGGAAACCGAGUCUUAACUGGGCGUUAAGUUGCAGGGUAUAGACCCGAAACCCGGUGAUCUAGCCAUGGGCAGGUUGAAGGUUGGGUAACACUAACUGGAGGACCGAACCGACUAAUGUUGAAAAAUUAGCGGAUGACUUGUGGCUGGGGGUGAAAGGCCAAUCAAACCGGGAGAUAGCUGGUUCUCCCCGAAAGCUAUUUAGGUAGCGCCUCGUGAACUCAUCUUCGGGGGUAGAGCACUGUUUCGGCUAGGGGGUCAUCCCGACUUACCAACCCGAUGCAAACUACGAAUACCGAAGAAUGUUAUCACGGGAGACACACGGCGGGUGCUAACGUCCGUCGUGAAGAGGGAAACAACCCAGACCGCCAGCUAAGGUCCCAAAGUCAUGGUUAAGUGGGAAACGAUGUGGGAAGGCACAGACAGCCAGGAUGUUGGCUUAGAAGCAGCCAUCAUUUAAAGAAAGCGUAAUAGCUCACUGGUCGAGUCGGCCUGCGCGGAAGAUGUAACGGGGCUAAACCAUGCACCGAAGCUGCGGCAGCGACGCUUAUGCGUUGUUGGGUAGGGGAGCGUUCUGUAAGCCGUUGAAGGUGGCCUGUGAGGGUUGCUGGAGGUAUCAGAAGUGC
rnacentral:rRNA from 1 species